GCCAGGCAUGGUGGCGUGUGCCUGUAGUCCCAGCUACUCAGGAGGCUGAGGUGGGAGGAUCGCUUGAACCCAGGAGUUCUGGACUAUAGUGCGCUGUGCCAAUCGGGUGUCUGCAUAAGUUCGGCAUCAAUAUGGUGACCUCCCGGGAGCGGGGGACCACCAGGUUGCCUAAGAAGGGGUGAACUGGCCCAGGUCGGUAACGGAGCAAGUCAAAACUCCCAUGCUGAUCAGUAGUGGGAUUGUGCCUGUGAAUAGCCACUGUACUCCAGCCUGGGCAACACAGUGAGACCCCAUCUAA
rnacentral:SRP_RNA from 1 species